AAUGGAUACAACAAAUAAUUCAGUUUGCUGUAAGAAUCUAAUGGAUAACAUUAUAACACCUUUCAAAGGCUUUAUAGCACAUUUUCAAAUCCUUAAGAUUUUGGUCAUUAAGAAUAACAAUAUAAAGAGAUUAGCAGAUUUUUCUUUUAUCUCUCAAUCAUUAAAAUAUCUUAAUCUUGCUGAGAAUUCUAUAAGGAGAAUUGAUAAGUUUACCUUUACUGGAGCAGAUAAUUUAUUCUAUUUGAAUUUGGCUGGAAACAAAAUAAAAUUUAUACACUCUCAUGCGCUUCCUCCUCUAACUAAUUUAGACUCUCUUAAUCUUCAAAAUAAUAAUCUGGGCCCAACAUUUACAGUAACUUUACCAGAAAAUUUAACAACAUUGUACGUUCAAUCAAAUAAGUUGAAACACUUCAAACCAGAAUAUAUAGGUGAAAAUAAUUUGCAAAUAAUUUAUAUGGAAAACAAUUGUAUGAAUGAAUUAAUCAAAGGAUCUAUAUUUUCGAAUAUAAUUGAUCUAAAUUUACAAAAUAAUAAAAUUGGAUUGCUGGAUGAUGACUCCUUUGCCAAUUUUACUUCUCUUGAACACUUAACACUAACUGACAACAAACAGCUAGUUAUAACACCAAAACUAUUUGCUCCUCUAACAAAAUUACGUAUCCUGGAUUUAGAAGGAAUUUCAAUAGCAAAUAUUCAAGUUAUGAUGUUUUCAAAUUUACAUCUACAACGAAUAAAAUUCUCAAAAUUCGCUUAUUGCCAAUAUGUACCUCAUGUUCCUAAUUGUUAUCCGAAAACUGACGGAAUUUCCAGUUUAAAAGAUCUCUUGGCUUUGGUAGUACUUAGAGUAUUCAUCUGGGCAGUAGGCCUUUUUACGAUAAUGGCUAAUAGCUUAGUAUUUGUAAGCCGCCUCAGAAGUAGGGAUAAAAAUAAAACUUCGGCGUUUAUAAUCAACCUUUGUGUUUCCGAUUUGAUUAUGGGCAUCUACUUGAUAAUGAUCGCUAUUUAUGACACACGCUUUAGGGGCGUCUACAACAAACAUUCUCUAGAUUGGAAAAGAAGCAGGGAAUGUCAACUAAUCGGAUCUUUAUCCGUUACGUCGGCACUGGUAAGAUUUUCUUUAGCCUUUUCUCUCUUAAAAGCGCUAAAGAACUUAUCAUGCGGGUUUAUACCUCAGUACGGAUUAUCACUAAGAAAAAAUAAAAGAGAGAGUUGCUGCUGUUUUAUAUUAAAUUAGUUAAUUAAAAAUAACACCAGUAAAUUUAAUAGUAGUAAAACGGUUGUAAUUGGCAAUCCAAUUGCUAGCCAUCUCUCCUGAUUGCUACUUUGGAGAGAGUAACAAUAUAACGUAAAUCGAUUUUUUAACUUGUCAAGCUAAUUUUUCUUUAUCUAAUUCUUCAAUUGCAAGUUAAAUUACACUUUAAAAUUUCAAAGAGAUACGCAAGAAUCAACAAUCAUGCUAAAUGAAAUAAAAUGCCUACAGGUUUCUAGUUUUGUUUUGACGUUUAUGUCAGUGGAACGCUGUAGCGUUAUAUCAAAUCCCUAUAGGAAAACCCAUCUAACUGUAAAAAGGACAUGGUUAGUUCUUUUCAUCCUUUGGAUUGUUGGAAUUAUUUUGUCCUUACUACCUAUAUUUUUGCGGAAAAAUUUUGGCUCAAACGGUUUCUACGGCGGUACCGGAAUGUGUCUACCUUUGUACAUUCAUGAACCUCUUAGAUCUGGCUGGCAAUAUUCUGCUGUCCUUUUCCUUGGCAUAAAUAUAGCUACUGUAAUAUUGGUCACGACUUCAUACUUGGCCAUGUUUAAAAGCGUGAGAAAAACUAGGAAAAAAUCUGUAGACCGCGGUCGGCAAGGAGAAGAUGCUGGAUUAGCAGCUCGCUGUUUUUUAAUUGUUUUGACCAAUGUGUUCUCAUGGACUCCAAUAUUUAUAGUAAAGAUACUUGUUUUGUGUCAAAUAGAAGUAAAUGAUGCAGCCCACACGUGGUUGAUCAUUUUCGUUCUUCCAGUUAAUAGUGCUAUCAACCCUAUUUUAUAUUCAAUAGCUUCUCCACAGUUUCGAAAACCUUUCAAGCGUUUCCUACUUUCAAAUAACGUAUUACGAGCAUUAUGCGCCAAAUGUAUAGAACUAGAGGGUUGGAGGUUUUCAUUAACUAAUGCUUUCAUUAAUAAUUUUUUCUCUCUCUUCAGAAGAGGCAACUGCUUCGAGAGAAACACAAUAUUUCCUGCAGUCCCAGUAUCAAAUUCGUAACCGGAAAUAAGCAAGAGAAGCUUUGUUAAUCAAACCAUAUCUAAUCUGGCUACCAGAAUACGCGUAGGAGAAAAAUGGUCCAUUUCUUUUCAAGAUAUGCAUUAUAAAUGUAUGUAAAAAGAUAUUUAUGUAAUUGUAAAAUAUUAGUAUUUGAUAACAUUUAACUAUGAUAUCCAGUCGUUCAACAAUUCGUCAUUUACAAUUCUAAAUUGUUUUAAUAAACUAAUAUUUUUACUCAUAAAUGUCGAAGUUAUUUAUGGAAAUGCUAUAUAAUUUUUGUAUUUGGUAAUGUUUCGACUAUGGGACUUUAAAUUAAUAAAAGAUAAUCUGUUUU
rnacentral:misc_RNA from 1 species